CAAAGAGAGGCAAAGCCGCGAGGUGGAGCAAAUCUCAAAAAGCCGUCCCAGUUCGGAUUGCAGGCUGCAACCCGCCUGCAUGAAGUUGGAAUCGCUAGUAAUCGCGGAUCAGCAUGCCGCGGUGAAUACGUUCCCGGGCCUUGUACACACCGCCCGUCACACCAUGAGAGUCGGGAACACCCGAAGUCCGUAGCCUAACCGCAAGGGGGGCGCGGCCGAAGGUGGGUUCGAUAAUUGGGGUGAAGUCGUAACAAGGUAUC
rnacentral:rRNA from 1 species